UCUAAUAUGGCAGAUUAGUGCAAUGAAUUUAAGCUUCAUAUAUAAAGAUUUUUUUUUCUUUUAUUAGAA
rnacentral:tRNA from 1 species